rnacentral:misc_RNA from 1 species
AAGGAGUCUUCCGCAUGUGCGAGUAUUUGGGUGUUAAACCCUGGUGCGCAAUGAAAGUAAUAGGUAGGGCGGUGUCAAAGCCCGCACUAUCGACCGAUCCCGUGGGGGUUUUUGAGUAAGAGCACAUAUGGGGGGACCCGAAAGAUGGUGAACUAUGCCUGAAGAGGGUGAAGCCAGAGGAAACUCGGGUGGAGGCUCGUAGCGAUUCUGACGUGCAAAUCGAUCGUCAAAUUUGGGUAUAGGGGCGAAAGACUAAUCGAACCAUCUAGUAGCUGGUUCCCGC